CAGCAAAUUCAGAAUCCUUAGAAAUGCAGAGUGUUUACCCUUUCCUGUGAAAGCUGUGUGCCUUACUAAAGUAGUUACAUCAUUGGCCUCCUCUAGAGAGUCCAGGGUAGCUAGUUUUUGUUAUUAUGAUGAUCAGACACAAAAUAUUUGGAAAUCUACAGUAACACCUUUGGAAGGGCAGUAAAUGAAGAUCUGAAAGCAUCACAAGGGACAUUGACACCUAUAUCUAUAGCAGACCAAAUGGGACUACCCAGCCACCAGUCUCCAGAACAAUCUCAUCAUCAAUCCAUUACAGUGCAGAGAGGAGUGCAAGAGAAGCAAGUAAAACAGUUUUAGCUCCAGUUAAGGAAAGUUAAGCUUCCUGGCAUCUAUUUAUCAACAUUGGACAGAAAGUGACAGAAAGGGUCACAAACAUGGAUAUUACAACCCUUACAUCUUUUGUCUCAUCUGACUAUCCCAGACACCAAAGAAGAGUUAGACAGUCCCUGGGUGAAGGUUCUUUCUCAUACCAUGACUCUCAAGAUCUUGGCUGCACAGAGACUCAGCCGAGGAAAGGAAGGAUAUUUACACUUGGCUGAAGUGCAUUUUCAC